rnacentral:rRNA from 1 species
CCUCCGGGAGGCAGCAGUGGGGAAUAUUGGGCAAUGGGGGCAAGCCUGACCCAGCAACGCCGCGUGAGGGAAGAAGGCUUUCGGGUGGUAAACCUCUGUCCUGGGUGAGGAAAAAAAUGACGGUAGCCAAGGGGGAAGCCCCGGCUAACUACGUGCCAGCAGCCGCGGUAAUACGUAGGGGGCGAGCGUUGUCCGGAAUUACUGGGCGUA